rnacentral:piRNA from 1 species
UCGAAAUAUAAAGAAAAUUCA